rnacentral:lncRNA from 1 species
CUGCCACACCCCGCCCUUAAAAGUUGUUUUUACCUCAUAAAAAUGCUUCAUAAAAAAGCAAUCCAGCCAGGCAUGGUGGCUCAUGCCUAUAAUCCCAACACUUUUGGGAGGCCAAGGCAGGUGGAUCACUUGACCCUUAGGAGUUCGAGACCAGCCUGGGCAACAUGGUGAAACCUUGUCUCUACAAAAAAUACAAAAGUUAGCCAGGCAUGGUGGUGUGUACCUAUAGUCCUAGCUACUCAGGAGACUGAGGUGGGAGGAUCAUUUGAGCCCAGGAAUUGGAUGGUGCAGUGAGCCAAGAUAAUGCCACUGUACUCCAGCCUGGGUGACAAAGUAAGACUCUGUCUCAAAAAAAAAAGGGCAAUCAUAUUAGCUUUGCAACGAAGCAACAACAAGAAUGCUACAGUGUUCCUUAGUUGUAUAAGUUUUAUGGGAUUAUUAAGACUAUCAAAGUUUUAGCUAUUUAAAAGCCCAACUCAAUCACUUAAUUAUAUUAACUGACCAAAAAAAAACUAGUAAAAUGAUUAAGCUAAAUUACUCUUACUAGAAUCCUAACUUUUAAUUAAGGAACCCUAUAUUAUUUAAGCAUUUAAUUGUGUAAUUGCCUCUUCCUGUGAAGUAUUAGUCAAUAUAGCUGUGUUUUAGGAAACUCUAUAUUUAUAACUUUUUGAAUUUCCCUUGUUAAAUAACACACUGUGGGAUUUGUUAUACAGCACUGACUACAGAAAACUACACCUUAAGAUUCUGUCUCCUGGGGGGCGGGGGUUAUUUUCUAUUUUACAGUCUCCAAGACAAUCUUCUAAACCUCAUUUUCUUUUCUUUUUUUUUUUCUGAGACGGAGUCUCACUCUGUCGCCCAGGCUGGAGUGCAGUGGCACCAUCUUGGCUCACUGCAACCUCUGCCUCCCGGGUUCAAGCAAUUCUCCUGCCUCAGCCUCCUGAGUAGCUGGGAUUACAAGCGUGCACCACCAUGCCCAGCUAAUUUUUGAGUUUUUAGUAGAGACGGGGUUUCGCCAUGUUGGCCAGGCUGGUCUCGAACUCCUGACCUCAGGUGAUCCACCCUCUUUGGCCUCCCAAAGUGCUAGGAUUACAUGCAAGAGCCACUGUGCCGGGCCUAAACCUCAUUUUUAAAAUAUAAGAUAGCAGCAGUUACCAUUUAAUGAGUACCCAUUAUAUUCUAGAAAAUGUGCUGCCCUCUCCCUCUCCCUCCUCUCCCUCUCCCUCUCCCUCUCCCUCUCCCCCUUCCCACGGUCUCCUUCCACGGUCUCCCUCUGAUGCCGAGCCAAAGCUGGACGGUACUGCUGCCAUCUCGGCUCACUGCAACCUCCCUGCCUGAUUCUCCUGCCUCAGCCUGCCGAGUGCCUGCGACUGCAGGCGCGCACCGCCACGCCUGACUGGUUUUCGUUUUUUUUUUUGGUGGAGACGGGGUUUUGCUGUGUUGGCCGGGCUGGUCUCCAGCUCCUAACCGCGAGUGAUCCGCCGGCCUCGGCCUCCCGAGGUGCCGGGAUUGCAGACGGAGUCUCGUUCACUCAGUGCUCAAUGGUGCCCAGGCUGGAGUGCAGUGGCGUGAUCUCGGCUCGCUACAACCUCCACCUCCCAGCCGCCUGCCUUGGCCCCCCAAAGUGCCGAGAUUGCAGCCUCUGCCCAGCCGCCACCCCGUCUGGGAAGUGAGGAGCGUCUCUGCCUGGCCCCCCAUCGUCUAGGAUAUGAGGAGCCUCUCUGCCUGGCUGCCCAGUCUGGAAAGUGAGGAGCGUCUCUGCCCGGCCGCCAUCCCAUCUAGGAAGCGAGGAGCGCCUCUUCCCCGCCGCCAUCCCAUCUAGGAAGUGAGGAGCGUCUCUGCCCGGCCGCCCAUCGUCUGAGAUGUGGGGAGCACCUCUGCCCCGCCGCCCUGUCUGGGAUGUGAGGAGCGCCUCUGCUGGGCCGCAACCCUGUCUGGGAGGUGAGGAGCGUCUCUGCCCGGCCGCCCCGUCUGAGAAGUGAGGAAACCCUCUGCCUGGCAACCGCCCCGUCUGAGAAGUGAGGAGCCCCUCCGUCCGGCAGCCACCCCGUCUGGGAAGUGAGGAGCGUCUCCGCCCGGCAGCCACCCCGACCGGGAGGGAGGUGGGGGGGGGGGUCAGCCCCCCGCCCGGCCAGCCGCCCCGUCCGGGAGGUGAGGGGCUCCUCUGCCCGGCCGCCCCUACUGGGAAGUGAGGAGCCCCUCUGCCCGGCCAGUCGCCCCGUCCAGGAGGGAGGUGGGGGGGUCAGCCCCCCGCCCGGCCAGCCGCCCAGUCCGGGAGGUGAGGGGCGCCUCUGCCCGGCCGCCCCUACUGGGAAGUGAGGAGCCCCUCUGCCCGGCCAGUCGCCCCAUCCGGGAGGGAGGUGGGGGGGUCAGCCCCCCGCCCGGCCAGCCGCCCCGUCCGGGAGGGAGGUGGGCGGGGUCAGCCCCCCGCCCGGCCAGCCGCCCCGUCCGGGAGGGAGGUGGGGGGAUCAGCCCCCCGCCUGGCCAGCCGCCCCGUCCGGGAGGUGAGGGGCGCCUCUGCCCGGCCGCCCCUACUGGGAAGUGAGGAGCCCCUCUGCCCGGCCAGCCGCCCCGUCCGGGAGGGAGGUGGGGGGGUCAGCCCCCCGCCCAGCCGGCCGCCCCGUCCGGGAGGUGAGGGGCGCCUCUGCCCGGCCGCCCCUACUGGGAAGUGAGGACCCCUCUGCCUGGCCAGCCGCCUCGUCCGGGAGGGUGGUGGGGGGGUCAGCCCCCCGCCCGGCCAGCCGCCCCAUCCGGGAGGUGAGGGGCGCUUCUGCCCGGCCGCCCCUACUGGGAAGUGAGGAGCCCCUCUGCCCGGCCACGACCCCGUCUGGGAGGUGUGCCCAGCGGCUCAUUGGGGAUGGGCCAUGAUGACAAUGGCGGUUUUGUGGAAUAGAAAGGCAGGAAGAGUGGGGAAAAAAUUGAGAAAUCGGAUGGUUGCCGGGUCUGUGUGGAUAGAAGUAGACAUGGGAGACUUUUCAUUUUGUUCUGUACUAAGAAAAAUUCUUCUGCCUUGGGAUCCUGUUGAUCUGUGACCUUAUCCCCAACCCUGUGCUCUCUGAAACAUGUGCUGUGUCCACUCAGGGUUAAAUGGAUUAAGGGCGGUGCAAGAUGUGCUUUGUUAAACAGAUGCUUGAAGGCAGCAUGCUCGUUAAGAGUCAUCACCACUCCCUAAUCUUAAGUACCCAGGGACACAAACACUGCGGAAGGCUGCAGGGUCCUCUGCCUAGGAAAACCAGAGACCUUUGUUCACUUGUUUAUCUACUGACCUUCCCUCCCUUCCCUCCACUAUUGUCCUAUGACCCUGCCAAAUCCCCCUCUGCGAGAAACACCCAAGAAUGAUCAAUAAAAAAAAAAAAUAAAUAAAUUAAAAAAAAAAAGAAAAUGUGCUAGUUUCUAUUUAAUUUACUAUAACAUUCCUUCAAAAGUAUGUCAUGUUAACAUCAUUUUAAACAUGUGAAAAG